UUGAGCCUUUAAUAACUAUGGUGGGCACUAUUAUUCACAGGGAUCUCUCAACUCCAAACUUUGUAAUUGGAUGGCAUAUGCUCUUGCUACCAAUCUGAUAGGCUUCAUCAUAUGAAAGUUUCAUUUUACAAAAUUUGCAAAAUGAUAUGCAUGGAUUAGGCACCAAAUAGAGUAAUGCUUUUACUGAUAAGAAGCUUAUGUUGCUUGAUUUUAUCAAAGCAUCUACACGCUUGAAGUACUUUUUUUAGCAAAUUUGAGUAUUUCUGAACUGUCAAGUAUCCACACUGGACAUACAUUCUCCAUUGCAGCCCAGAGGCUUCAGCUUGCUAGUGUAU
rnacentral:misc_RNA from 1 species